rnacentral:tRNA from 1 species
UGGGUGCGUAACUCAGUUGGAUAGAGUAGCUGCCUUCUAAGCAGCGAGCCGCAGGUUCAAGUCCUGCCGUACCCGU